UACGUAGGGUGCGAGCGUUGCCCGGAUUUAUUGGGCGUAAAGGGCGCGUAGGCGGCUCUGCACGUUCGUUGUGAAAUCGCCCGGCUCAACUGGGCGGGGUCAGCGGAUACGGCAGAGCUUGAGCAAGCUAGGGGGCAAUGGAAUUCCCGGUGUAGUGGUGGAAUGCGUAGAUAUCGGGGAGGAACACCAGUGGCGAAGGCGGUUGCCUGGGGGCUUUGCUGACGCUGAUGCGCGAAAGCGUGGGGAGCGAUCCGG
rnacentral:rRNA from 1 species